rnacentral:rRNA from 1 species
GAUGAACGCUAGCUACAGGCUUAACACAUGCAAGUCGAGGGGUAACGAGAGGAAAGCUUGCUUUCCUUGUCGACGACCGGCGCACGGGUGAGUAACGCGUAUCCAACCUGCCCCCAACUAGGGAAUAACCUCGCGAAAGUAAGACUAAUACCCUAUAAUUUCCUCAGAUGUCAUCUGACGAGGAAUAAAGAUUUAUCGGUUGUGGAUGGGGAUGCGUCUGAUUAGCUUGUUGGCGGGGUAACGGCCCACCAAGGCAACGAUCAGUAGGGGUUCUGAAAGGAAGGUCCCCCAUAUUGGAACUGGGACACGGUCCAAACUCCUACGGGAGGCAGCAGUGAGGAAUAUUGGUCAAUGGGCGGAAGCCUGAACCAGCCAAGUAGCGUGCAGGAUGACGGCCCUAUGGGUUGUAAACUGCUUUUAUACAGGAAUAAAGUUAGCCACGUGUGGUUAUUUGUAGGUACUGUAUGAAUAAGGACCGGCUAAUUCCGUGCCAGCCGCCGCCGUAA